GACCAAACACGUUAUUAAUUGUGCACUCUUAUACACCGGAGUCAUCCUCACUUCUGGUCUCCACACCACCCACAACCUACCUAGUCUAUUAUGCUCAUAGUUAGCCAUAAAGUUCCAAUCUCGAAAAACCUCAUCCACAAUCUUCCCCGCUUUACUCUCUUUUACUCUUGUUUCAAUAAUGCAUCCAAAAAAAAUUGUUGUAUCUCGUAACCAGCUUCUCACAACCCCAUGUUUAGUUGACUUAUUGAAGCCCCUCACAUUCCAAAAGAAACCCGUCAUUUGUGAUUUUUCCUAGUACCCCUUUUCAUAUCUUUAAUAUGAUUAGAAGUUCCAGGCAUAACCACACGAUGAUUUGUCUUCGACACCCUUGGUAACAUCUGUCUUGCUCUUUCUUUUUUAGUUGACUCUAUAUUUUCUUCCACCCUACUUUGAUAUAUAUCCUCCUCUUCCUCCAUAUCUUCUUCUACGGACUCUGUAUCCACCUCUUCUCCUUUCUCAUCAGUGUUUCUCAAAGCAUCAAA
rnacentral:lncRNA from 1 species